rnacentral:rRNA from 1 species
AGCGAACGCUGGCGGCAGGCCUAACACAUGCAAGUCGAACGGAUCCUUCGGGAUUAGUGGCGGACGGGUGAGUAACACGUGGGAACGUGCCCUCUGGUUCGGAACAACUCAGGGAAACUUGAGCUAAUACCGGAUGUGCCCUUCGGGGGAAAGAUUUAUCGCCAUUGGAGCGGCCCGCGUCUGAUUAGCUAGUUGGUGAGGUAAAGGCUCACCAAGGCGACGAUCAGUAGCUGGUCUGAGAGGAUGAUCAGCCACAUUGGGACUGAGACACGGCCCAAACUCCUACGGGAGGCAGCAGUGGGGUAUCUUGCGCAAUGGGCGAAAGCCUGACGCAGCCGUGCCGCGUGAAUGAUGAAGGUCUUAGGAUUGUAAAAUUCUUUCACCGGGGACGAUAAUGACGGUACCCGGAGAAGAAGCCCCGGCUAACUUCGUGCCAGCAGCCGCAGUAACAC